GAUGAACGUUGGCGGCGUGCCUAAUACAUGCAAGUCGAACGAAGACUGUAGUAAUACUGUCUUAGUGGCGAACGGGUGAGUAACGCGUGGGUGACCUGCCCCGAAGUGUGGGAUAACAGUUCGAAAGGAUUGCUAAUACUGCAUAAUAUCCAAGAGAUUAGACGCUUUUGGAUUAAAGGAGUAAUUCGCUUCGGGAGGGGCCCGCGUCCCAUCAGCUAGUUGGUAAGGUAAUGGCUUACCAAGGCGAUGACGGGUAGGGGACCUGAGAGGGUGGCCCCCCACAAUGGGACUGAAACACGGUCCAUACACCUACGGGUGGCAGCAGUAGGGAAUAUUGGUUAAUCUGCGAAAGCGGGAACCAGCAACGCCGCGUGCACGAUGAAGGCCUUCGGGUUGUAAAGUGCUUUUUGAAAGGAUGAGGAAGGACAGUACUUUCAGAAUAAGCUUCGGCUAACUACGUG
rnacentral:rRNA from 1 species